GGAGCAGCUAUGAAGGAGCUAAUGAGUCUCCCCGUUGCUGAGCUCGAAAGACGUUGCAGACAUAAUGGAUUAUCUCUUGUUGGUGGUAGAGAAAUGAUGGUUGCCCGAUUGCUCAGUCUUGAAGAGGCAGAAAAGCAGUCUAUGAGUUAGAUAAUGACUUGAAAUUUUCUCAGAGCUAUUCAAGUUCUAGUAAAUUUUCAAGUGGGCACACAGAAACAAAUGUUGAACCGGAGCCAGUGGGAUUGUCAGGGUGGGAUCUUUAUGGGGAGGAUGGGGUGCAGUCUCAAAGCAGAGGGUCUACAUCUAUAGCAACAGCCUUUCCAAUUCCAGAACCUGAAUUAAAAGCCUUCACAAAGAAA
rnacentral:misc_RNA from 1 species